rnacentral:rRNA from 1 species
UGGGGAAUCUUGGACAAUGGGGGCAACCCUGAUCCAGCCAUGCCGCGUGAGUGAUGAAGGCCUUAGGGUCGUAAAGCUCUUUCGCCUGUGAAGAUAAUGACGGUAGCAGGUAAAGAAACCCCGGCUAACUCCGUGCCAGCAGCCGCGGUAAUACGGAGGGGGUUAGCGUUGUUCGGAAUUACUGGGCGUAAAGCGCGCGUAGGCGGCUGACUAAGUCGGGUGUGAAAGCCCCGGGCUCAACCUGGGAACUGCAUUCGAUACUGGUCAGCUGGAGUAUGGGAGAGGAUAGUGGAAUUUCCGGUGUAGCGGUGAAAUGCGUAGAGAUCGGAAGGAACAUUCAGUGGCGAAGGCGACUGUCUGGCCCAAUACUGACGCUGAGGUGCGAAAAGUGUGGGGAGCAAACAGGAUUAGAUACCCUGGUAGUCCACACCGUAAACGAUGAAUGCCAGUCGUCGGGUAGCAUGCUAUUCGGUGACACACCUAA